rnacentral:lncRNA from 1 species
GGAUGAUUUGCCACCCCUGAAUCAGUCCAACUCUUCCAUUCUCAGAGGAGGGCACUGAGGCGGGGGGGGCCUGGCCAGCCCAAGCCCUGUCUGCUGCUCGGCUGAGCAAGAGGGACAUGAACGCAGCUCUUCGUCCUCUGCCCUGUGCUUGCAUUCUCUUGAGCUUUCUCUCUGGUGAACAGUCUCAGACUGCAAAGCAAGUCAGCACUACCACAGAGGGAAUCCCAAACUCGCUGCUGAGAACAGAACAGCUGUGCCCUCGCCGACUGGGACCCGAGUGACAUCUACUGGAGCAAGCAGGGGCUGCACGUGAGCAGGCAGCCAUUCGGUCACUCCCCGUCAUUCCAACACAAUCGAAUUUGUGUAGAAAAUUUACAUGCAUCAUAGGCUAUUUAUGAAUAUAUGCACACGUAGAAAGAGGAAAAAUACGCUUGGAAAUGGUAAACAUAACUUCAAGAUAGUAGUUACCCUUGGGUUCGGUAGGGGUGAAGGAGUGGUAAGGGUUUUAGUUUUAUCUUUAACCAUUUCUUUUUUCACUUACUUAUUUGUAGAGAUGGGAGUCUCACUAUGUUGCCCAGGGUAGUCCUGGUCUCAAGCAAUCCUCCCACCUUGGCUUCCCAAAAUGCUGGGAUUACAGGCGUGAGACACCAUGCCUGGCCACAAUUUGGUUUCUCUUUCAAAAGAUCCGAUACCAGUGUGCCAAAGUAUUGACAUCUAUUAAAUCUUUCAGGUGGUCCUACUGAGGUCUGUUUUUCUGUGCUUAUCUCUAAGUUUAAAAUCGUUCAUAAUAAACAUAUAGUUUAUAUUAAUAGUAAUAAUAUACAGUAUAUAUUAUACUAUAUAUUUAUUAUAUAGUAUAUACUUUAUAUUCAUUAUAUAUUGUAUACUUACAUUUAUGGAAGGAAAAUAAAAAACAAAAAUGGAAAAUUUGUGGUCCAGAUUCUUGGUCCCAAUGGUAGCAGGGCAGUUUAAUAGCAAAAGUUCUUAAUACUUGUUGGCUGCUGUUACCAUCAUUAAUAAGUAUCCUGGAGUUUACUGGAGUAACUGAACAGCAGUCGAAGCUCAUGUAUAGGCUAGAGGAGAAUCACGCUCUUCAACAGUAGUGACAAGAUGAAGAUACACUGAGAAGACUCAUUUAUUUGCUAUUAUUGAAAAAUUGUUCAUACCCCAUAGGAAGAUGUGGCAUAGAACAUCAGAAUGUUCUUAGAAUUGGGAAACUCUCAGGUAGGAGGCUGAAAGAGAAAGCCAAAAUGACUAUUUUAUUUCCAGAUUAAAGUUGUGCCUAGAAUGAUCACAAACACAACCUCCCACUGUUAGAACCAGAGUCCAGAAGCACCUAACACAGGCAGCAGUACUAGAGCAGGGCUCACGAUAUUUUGAUAACUCAAGUUAUACCUUUAUGAGUUUUUACAUAUCCAGGUACCUAUUGUAUGAUUAUUUGUAUAAUAUAUUUUUAAAACCUCACUUUUUAUGCCAGAGGUUUGAAUGUAAUCGGUCUGGGUUGUGUCUUGGGAUUUUAAAAAAUGUCCCCAGUUGAAUGUAAAUAUAAGCCAAGAUUGAAAACCAUUUCUUCAAAUCAAGAAAGGGGAGUCCCAGGCGCCAGAGAUGAAGAGGACAUGGAAAGGUAGAGUGUCGGUGGGGCGUGGUGGCUCACACUUGUAAUCACAGCACUUUGGGAGGCCGAGGCAGGCAGAUCACGAGGUCAGGAGAUCGAGACCAUGGUGCAACCCUGUCUCUACUAAAAAUACAAAAAAUUAGCCGGGCGUGGUGGCAUGCGCCUCUAAUCCUAGCUACUGGGAGAGGCUGAGGCAGGAGAAUGGUGUGAACCCAGGAGGUGGAGCUUGCAGUGAGCGGAGAUCAUGCCACUGCACUCCAGCCUGGGCGACAGAGUGAGACUCCGUCUCAAAAAACAAACAAACAAAAAAAAACACAAGAAACGAAAAGAAAGGUAGAGUGGCAAGUGUGAGAGCUGAUGUGCGGGAGCUGGAGCCUGGGUGGGGCACAUUCUGAUGCACGCUCAUGGGGACAGGUGAUGAGGCCUUAGAAAGGGGAGCUGGAUCUGAGAUUUGUGCAAAAGUCAGGACCCUUGAAAAGCUGUCUGCUCAGUGAAUGGGGGACCAGACAAAUCCUACCUGCUGGUGAGGGAGACUUCAGUUGCUUAGGCUCUCGGUGGGGAAAAAAUAUCUCUCAUGUAAUAAACCGAAACCUAAGCUGAGAAAUUCACUUAAACAUUGGUCCAAACAACUCAAAUAUCCAUCCAUGGAUGAAUGGACAGACUAAACGUGGAAUAUACAUACAAUGGAAUAUUAUUCUGCCUUAAAAAAGAAAGGAAAUUCUGAUACAUACCAUAACAUGGAUGAACCUUGAGGACAUUAUGCCAAAUGAAAGAAGCCAGAUGCAGAAGGACAAAUACUGUAUAAUUCUACUUACAUGAGGUACCUAAAAUAGUCAAAUUAAUAGAGACAGAAGGUAGAAUUGUGGUUAUCAGGGCUGGGAAAGAGUGGAAUGGGGAGUUAGUGUUUCAUGGGCACAGAGUUUCAGUUUGGGAUGAUGGAAAAGUUGUGGAAAUGGAUGGUGGUGACGGUUGUCCAACAAUGCAAAUAUACUUGAUGCCACUGAACUGUACACUUAAAAGUGUUUAAAAUGGUCAAUUUAUGCUAUGUGUAUUUUAUCACAAUAGACAAAAAUGAUCCCAAGUUUAUGAUAUCCUUCGUGGAGCAUCUGGAAGAAUCAAAUAGUAAAGUACAUGAUUCUCUUCCCAGUGUGUAGA